CAGCCGCCGCGGUAAUACGAAGGGGGCUAGCGUUGCUCGGAAUGACUGGGCGUAAAGGGCGCGUAGGCGGAUUGUUUAGUUAGGCGUGAAAUUCCUGGGCUUAACCUGGGGACUGCGCUUAAUACAGGCAGUCUAGAGUGAGGAAGAGGGUUGCGGAACUCCAGGUGUAGCGGUGAAAUGCGUAGAUAUCUGGAAGAACACCGAUGGCGAAGGCAACCUCCUGGGCCUGUUCUGACGCUGAGGCACGAAAGCGUGGGUAGCGAACAGGAUUAGAUACCCGCGUAGUCCCUGUCUCUUAUAC
rnacentral:rRNA from 1 species